GUUACUAACAGGUCGAUGUACUAGUGCAGAAAGGUAAUGAAACUGGGUUCACCUCGGCACUCUCACUUGGGAGGGUCCUCUUCGUCUGCUGUCUGCACAGAUGAGAGCUUUAGGCUAAAUCUCUGCUCCGGAGGGUGACACUCUUCAGCUCUUUGCCACUAUAAUGGCAGGACUCAAGCCAGAUAAUGAUGCUGACAGCCCAACUGUCAGUCUGCCUCUUCCUGCAGCAGCCCCUUAAGAGCUCAACGUGGGACACUGGCCAUGAAUCCGUGAGACUGCUGCAUUUUCAAAAGUCAUUAAUCUAAACAAAGACACCCCGGAGUCUUCCGUGACUCCCUCCGCUCGGCCUUGUCCUCUGCUCAGGAUGGAGGAGACGAAGAGUGAGUGCAAAAGAGGCAGCUCAAAGUUCUGCAGUGCUCUGACGGCCUGACGUGGAGUCAGUGGGCCUCGCAGGUAAAAGGAAGUGGCUUUUUCAGCACCUUGGAGAGCUCUUGAAACCAAUGCAGUGAGGGCAGCUUUGAUGAAGGCUAUGAGUGAAGGUUAUUCUGGACACAUCAGAGUUAGCAGUGCUGCAUUCAGAAUUCAAUUGAAAAUGCAUUGUACAUUCCAGCCCUCAGACUGACACACAUGCUGCUUACCACAUCCAACCAGCUCCUCCAAAGACCCCUAAAUCUGCAAACAUGUUGAAGAUGAGCGAAUGAGAAAGGUGUAGCCCUUAGAAUAAAGCCAAAACUGCUUAACGACAAAGACACCUGGGCCAGAAAAGGAUCAUGGUUAUGAAACAGCGACUCCACAGUUGCCAAAUACUAAUGCAGAUGUUUGGAUCUUUGUUUGCUCAGCGAUUAGCUGGCCAAAAGCAAGCUAUGAUUUAAUCUCUGCUCAGAUGAUCAUCAAGACUGAGAGUCAGCCACCAUUACUGUGGAAGAUGCAUCAGUAAGAGAUGAUUUUACAUCUGGUGCAUUCACAUUUGGAGCAGUGCUUAUGUAUGGUGGUGGGACCAGUUUUUAACCUUUCAUGUCAAAAACAAUCCUGGCAAUGUUCCAUGGAAAGGCCAAGAAGAAAUGACAACAGCGAAAAGGCAUGUGGUUUAAUGUCCCACCUCUGUAGUGUCCACUUCCUGUUCCGCUUCAACUCUGAUGGCAGCAUGGAGGUAUUUAGUCGUCUGAGACGAGGACUGUAUGUUUUCCUGCGGUUGCUUCACCCGAUUCCCCUCCACUGCACACCAGAUGUAACCAAAGCAGAGGACAAAACAAGUGCAUUAUUUUUUCAGAGGCAUGUCUAGUAUGAGACAGUGAUGCGCGCUGACAGGGCCUGCUAAUUGGAGUAAAUUAAUUUACCUCGGGCGCCAUGUUCUCACAAAGUGCCACGCUCCAUGUGAAUAAGUGAUGAUCGGCAGGGCUCAUAUAAGCCCAGAGUUUUUAAAUCAUUUAACAGCGCAUUCUGCUAAUUAGCACAGAGAAAGCCGGCUUUCAGCUACAAUUAAGACGGGCCUCUGUCAGUCAGGGGACCGCAGCCGGGAAGAAGCACUGAUUUAUUCAUCCUGCAAGCAGAUGCUGAGUGCAUUGGGGGUUUGGAUGGAGGGACUUGGAGAUGAAGCAAGCAAGGGGAUCUGAGAGAUGAAGGCAGUGAGGGAGAGGAGUGCAGUAUGUGUGUGGGUUGUUAUUAGUGUGCUGGUGCAGAAAUUGUAUGUUAUUUUUUUUUCUCUGCAAGGAAAGGCCCAAACAAAGCAAUGAGACGAGUUGGUGCAGUACUGUAAGUCUGCCCAUGAGGUUGCAUGUGUAACUUGUGAUUGGUCACCUAUGGGCUUUACUACCCAUGCUUAGUUGACAAGGCUCUUUCCAGGACUAUAGCAUGGUCAUUCCUGUUAUGUUUGAGUUCUGUAAAUUAAAAAAAUUAGGCCUGGGUUAUAAUUUAAAUUGAUAAUUCUACCAAAAAUUCUGUCAUUUACUCACCCUCAUGUUAUUCCAAACCUGUAAGACAUUCGUUCAUCUUUGAAACACAAAUUAAGAUACUUUUAAUGAAAUCUGAGAGAUUUCUGUUCCUUGACAGUCUACACAACUACUGUACCACUUUUUGACGCUUCAAAAAUUUCAUAAAGAGAUAUUCCAUAUGAAUUGAGUGGUUUAGUCCAAAUUUUCUGAAGAGACUCAAUCACUUUAUAUAAUGAACAGAUUUAAUUUAGCCUUUUAUUCACAUAUAAACAUUAAUCAACGCACAGAUCAGUUAUGGCAAACGGAAACUCAAGCAUGCUUGCUUGACGUGUGAGAACCAAUGAGGUUCAUUCUUGUGUGUUACGCAGCAUGUUUGAGCUUCCGUAAGAACCAUCAAGCAAGUAAGGUUCAGCUUCUGUUUAUUUUCACUGAUCAAUUUAAAUAUCUGAAUAAAAGCCUAAAAUAAAUCUGUUAUCAUAUAAAGUGAUGGAGUCUCUUGAAAACAGCUGAAUGCAUUUUGUCAACAAAAAAAGUAGCUUUAAAGACUCCCUGCAGUUUUCUGGUAAAAUAAAAUGUUGAUAGUUUUAAAAUUUGAAAGUGAAGAAAUUCAAAUGGCCAUAAAUAUUGUAAUUUCACAGUUGUACUGUAAAAAAUAUUAUUGUUGUUAAAUACUUAAAAAAUAUAUUUAAUACUAUAAAUUUUUGCUUAAUAUUAUUAGUAUUUAUUUUUAUUUAAUUAGUAUUAUUAAGAUAUAAUCAAAAAUAUUUUACCAGACGUGUAGCUUUUUUUUUUAAAUUGCAUUUUAAAUCACAAUUACAAUUUUAUCAGAAAAAAUCAUAAUUAGACCACAUGCAUUGCUAAUAGUUGCUUCCAUUUGUGUUGCGAUUGCACCAAUGAUGAUUUCACCUCUUGUAUGAAGAUAUUAUUAAGGAAGUGGCUUGGAAGAUUGGAAGUGUUAUUGAGGACACAGGGAAAAAACAAAUAAAACAAAAACAAACAAACAAACAAACAAACAAACAAAAACACUUGAAUUAAAAAAAAAGAAAAAAAAAAAAGCAAAAAACAAAAUAGGUUUUAAAAAUGAAAUUUGAUUACAGAAAGGAUUAAUAUUACAAAAUUAAGGAACACUUGGAAAACUUCCUAAUAAAUUGGCUUUUUUUCAUGUUAGUGUUUUUUUUAAAACAAAUUAGUAAAAUAAUUUAAAAUAAAUGAAUAUGAUAUGAGUUUAAUAUUUUAUCCGCUAUAUAAAGCUGCAUGAGAAUGUACUACAUAACAGGAAUGACCCCUCGCUGUGUUAUGACCCUAAAGUGCAUCUCGGAUCCAAAGGUAGCGAUCUGACUUUAAUGACUCUAAGAUACACACAUUGACAAAUAACAUUAACUCAUCUUUUUUGAAAGGAGGAAAUACUCUGUAUAGCUUAAGAAAAAUAUAUCUCUGGACCUUCGAGCCAAAUGUCUAUUAUUUUCAGCGAUCACUCAACAGUCUACACAGCACAUUUCGAGUUUGUCUUGGCUCUGUAAAAUCCCAGGAACAGUCUGGCAGACAUUUUUAAACAAAUUUACAAGGUGCUUGACACGUAAUGAGAAAAUGCUUUUCAUUCUCGCAUCCAAAUAUUUGACGGCAACACGGCGGAAGGUCUAGGUUUUGAGGCUGUCUAACAUCUCGGCUCUCAGGAACGACGCCAGCCGAUCCAUGUAAGUACAUUUUAUCAGGCUGUUGAGAUAAACACGGUGGAUUUGGCUAUUUUAUUUCUUUCAGGUGCUCAGUGUAUCUGUGUGUUUGGCUGUGCCCUCUGCUUUACAAGAUCCCUCCUGACCUCUGCUCUGUUUUGCAUCUCGCAACACGUCCCAUCGGGCUAAUCUCCAACAGAUACGAGACAUACAUUUUAGAUCAGUGGAUUAAGCCCAUGGUAAAAUGCAAUGAAUCAGUAAAAAGCAACGGUUCUUCCUGCUCGGCCAUGCACAUGUGAUCUGACGGAUGAUUCCUCGGGUUCAUCCAUAACCCUGACAGCUUCAGUCUAUAAACAAACCCUCGUUUUAAUUCCGACACCGAGAUGUGACACUCGUGCGGCAAAUGCUCACCCAAAGCUCCUCCAGCCCCGCCGAUUUAUUCAAGGUCAGGCCCACGUGUUCGUUUGUCUUAUCACAUAAUGGCUUGCAGGCUUCUGCAACUUGGAAAUUUGUGUCUGGCUGUGAAUUAUAAAUACUGUUCAGAUGAAGCCUCUAUAGAUAAAGGACCCUGAAAUUGUUAGCAUGGUGCUGUUUUUUUCCCUUGGCUAAAGUUUGUUGACCACUAUUUAUUUAUCAGGUAUUCCUGAUAUGCUUUCCUUGGUUAUAAUUACUUGAUUUGGCUUACUCUCGCUCUCUCUCACCAGUGCUAAAAGUCUUUCACUUUGAUCUGAAAAGUCUUUGCAGGCUCAUUGACUGUAAUGAGAUCUGGAGAAUCCAUAAAGACGGCUGGGAUUUGACUGGGAGCCGAAAACUCGGAGCUGGGAAUCAGCCGCAUUUCACGGAUGGAGCAAAAAAAAGAAAAAAAAAGAUCUCAGAUGACUUGGCAGCGCUUUGCCUUACCCUCCUCUACGCCAGAUCCGAACAUUAAUUUCCCCACAGUCUGGAAUUCCUGUGUGGAGUGGGGGGGAAUUCACAGGAGAAAGAGGAUUGGAAAGAGGCUUCUAGAUGUUUCUGUUUGCAGCCCAAAAGGGGCGUCCCGUGAUGAGAGCCAGGAUUUCUAUAAUCUCAAGCGUUGACAAGCGUCCAGUCCAUCAAUCAGGGGCUCCAGGGUUUCGUUCCUUUGCUUUAUCCAGGCCAACUUUCACACGGUCUCCGCUGAUGUCUGAUAAAGCUGCUUUAUUGGGUCAAGGAGAGAUGGAGAGAGGGCUGCCCUACCGCUAACCAAAGGGUUUCUCUGAACGCCGCCCAGACGGCCUUGCCAGCUUCGCUCUAUUGCCGCUGGGAUGUAUUUCUCCAUCAGAUAAACAUCAGGGCAGCUUUUCCUUCUUAAUCUGUCAAAAGGGUUCAGACAGGAUCUAAAAAUACCCUGUCGGUGUUUGCCCAUGUCCAACUAAAUUAGGGGAGGAGCAGGGCUAAACAAAAUUUGCAUCAGACAACUUAAAUGAGUCCAGUUUUUUUUUAUUAGAUUAUACAUCCAUAAUUAUGUUAGGUUUUAAAGUGAUAGAGAAUAACUCUGACAACACAUGUUGCUGAGUAACUAGAUAAAAGAAGCUAUUGAAAUAUAGACAUUUUCAAUGAUAAUUUGUUGUUUUGUAUGUUGACGAGGUAUGUUUUUAAUACAUUUUUCCUUCAGUUUCUUGUCCCAGGGUUGAUUAAAAUUUUUUUUUUUUUAUGAAAGUCACAUUUAACACUGUCACCAUGCAUUUGUCAUUUAUUUUUGCUACUUUUCAAUCAUAUAUAUAUAUAUAUAUAUAUAUAUAUA
ensembl:lncRNA